rnacentral:rRNA from 1 species
AACGAACGCUGGUGGCAGGCUUAACACAUGCAAGUCGAACGGGCGUAGCAAUACGUCAGUGGCGGACGGGUGAGUAACGCGUGGGCACCUGGCCUUAGGUUUGGGAUAACCCGGGGAAACUUGGGCUAAUACCGGAUGUACCCUACGGGGGAAAGAUUUAUCGCCUAAGGGUGGGCCCGCGUCGGAUUAGGUAGUUGGUGGGGUAACGGCCUACCAAGCCGACGAUCCGUAGCUGGUCUGAGAGGACGAUCAGCCACACUGGGACUGAGGCACGGCCCAGACUCCUACGGGAGGCAGCAGUGGGGAAUUUUGGACAAUGGGGGCAACCCUGAUCCAGCCAUGCCGCGUGGAUGAUGAAGGCCUUAGGGUUGUAAAGUCCUUUCGACGGGGAAGAUAAUGACGGUACCCGUAGAAGAAGCCCCGGCUAACUCCGUGCCAGCCGCCGCCGUAAAAC